UGUCUUGCUUCUGAUUGUUAUUAUGGUUCUCAUUUACAUGAUCUGGAAAAAUAACAGCAAUCAUUGCAAAGCUGCUGUCCUGCAGAACAACUUCAGCUAUCAAAAAAUACAACAGAAUAUGAAUACGUGGAUGUUUUCUGGUGUUGUCUUUACCGUGAUGAAAGCUGACAGAUGUACAAAAAACAACACAAAAGCAGAAAAGAGGCAGCAUAUCUACAUGGCUGCCAAGGCUUUUGGGCUGAAUUAGGUCUACUUAUCACUCCUUGGUAUGUUCUUCUGUUCAUGUUAUUAUCAGUGUUUAAUACAGCAGCAGUUUGGUCAUGAAUGGCUGUUGUUUUACUCUGUCUUUUGUCUCAUUUAGAUUAUUGCACAAGCACAUCAAAACUAUGUACUGGAUUGAAAAUCACAUAAGA